rnacentral:lncRNA from 1 species
UUUCUUUCAAUGCUUAAUUACUGCAUGCUCUUGGUCUGAUCACCUACUUGUGUGUACUGUUAGGUGACUUUAGCAUUGGGAAAUGUAUUGUUGCCUUAGAACUUGAUAGAAGCAGGUCUAAAUAACUGCAUUACCAGGGAUGGAUUGAGGGGUUUUAGUUUUCUUAUUAUGUUGUGAUGAUAAUGUUGUUUAAGUUAAGCCUAGUCCAACAAGA